AGAGUUUGAUCAUGGCUCAGAUUGAACGCUGGCGGCAGCCUUACACACUGCAAGUCGGACGGCAGCACGGGGGCAACCCUGGUGGCGAGUGGCGAACGGGUGAGUAAUACAUCGGAACGUGUCCUGUGGGGGAUAGCCCGGCGAAAGCCGGAUUAAUACCGCAUACGCUCUGGGGAUGAGGAAAGCGGGGGAUUCUGGACCUCGCGCUACAGGGGCGGCCGAUGCAGAUUAGCUAGUUGGUGGGGUAAUGGCCUACCAAGGCGACGAUCUGUAGCUGUCUGAGAGGACGACCAGCCACACUGGGACUGAGACUACGAGCCCAGACUCCUACGGGAGGCAGCAGUGGGGAAUUUUGGACAAUGGGGGAACCCUGAUCAGCAGCCAUGCGCGUGUGGAAGGCCUUCGGGUUGUAAAGCACUUUUUCCGGGAAGAAAUCCUUUCGCCUAAUACCGGGGAGGGAUGACGGUACCGGAAGAAUAAGCACCGGCUAAG
rnacentral:rRNA from 1 species